UUUAUCAAAAAUACGUACAUAGAAUAGCCAAUAGCAGUUACUACAAGACUUUGGGAUCGAGGAUAAGGUCUAAUCAUGCUCCCGAUGAGUCCACUACCAAUUCUCUUCCCCCAGCAAGCCUGUUCUUCCCCAGAAGAAGUGGGCAGUAUUCCCGGCACAGCCAGCUAUCCCCCAACAGAGGUUGGCACCAUCAGACAGAUUGAUCCUCUCUUCCAU
rnacentral:lncRNA from 1 species